CCGGUGUCGCGGUGGGAAAGCAACUGCGAGGAUCACAUUUUCAAGUGAUGGCGGGAGUGGGAAGAAGAAGAAAAAGACUAGGUUUUGGUUGAAGAAGAAGAAGAAGAAGAAGAAGGGAGUAGAGAGAUCUAAAGGUGUGGUGAGGAGCAGAAGAAAAAGAGUGGGAGAAGAUUUGGUGUUUGCUUGAAGAAGAGGAAGACUGUAGCUUCCAAAUGUGGAUCGUCUUCUGAUUCCAAAGGUGAUGUUGGUGUGUGGGAGUUUCUUAUUAUUGGUAGCAGAUUGUUGAAUGACUUGAUGCCUCUAGGUUGUCUUGAACUUUCAAGUUGUUUGGAAUCAAGGAAACUGAUGGUGCAGCUGCAAUGUUCUCUCAACAUGCUUGAACGAGAUACUGGGUGAUUUCAAGUUGUUGAGUAGCUUGAAAGUUUUGUGGGUCGUAGAGUUACAGAGAGAAGUAGAGAAGCAAAGGAGCGCUAGAUCAACAAGAAAAUCAGAAUGAGUGGAGGCGGCAUGGAAGCGGUGUCGUCUAGGCCACAAGAGGCUAAUGGCCAGCACAAGAGGAAUUUGCUAUGGGAACUUUCUUGUGGUCCAACUAGCCCUUGCUGUUGUUCUUGUAUCUAGUAUGAGAGAUUAUACUUUUGUUAGGCGACUUUGUUAAUUGUUUUCACUUAGUAUGGUAAUUGAUUUGUUACUGAUGUCUACCUAGCUAGUUGAUCUUUGUGUGAUGUUCAGUAAUGAUAUCUGGGUUUUGCUGA